rnacentral:tRNA from 1 species
GCCCUCGGUGGCUCAGAUGGAUAGAGCGUCUGCCAUGUAAGCAGGUGAUCCCGGGUUCGAAUCCCGGUCGCGGCA